AUGUUUCACGGAGUGUAAGGGAGGACUUCUCUGAAGCUAAACUUCAAAGUGAGAUCUGAAGACAGCAAGGAGACAUCUGGAUCCCAGGGUUCAAUCAAGAAAUUCAAGAAAAUGAAGUGAAUCCUGCAAAGGAGGCCAAGAACCAGCCCAUGAAGUUGAGAACCAAGAGAUGGUGGUCUUGGACAUCAAAAGAAGAGAGGCCACAGAGAAGAAGGAGUGAUCUGACCACUGCAUCGAAUGCUGCUGGGAGGUGGAGGAGGAUGAGCACUGAGAAGUGACUGCCAUGCAUCAGUUUGCAGCAUGAUAACCAUUGGUGGCUCUGACGGGAGUGGAGUGAUGGGGCAGAAACCUAACUGAAUGAGUUUAAGAAAUAAGGUAAGGAGAGGCCGGGCACGGUGGCUCACGCCUGUAAUCACAGCACUUUGGGAGGCCGA
rnacentral:lncRNA from 10 species